GUUUGGACAUCUUGUUCAAAAUGAGUCUUGGUUGCUAAAUCUUUGAUUUCUUUAUGACAAAAAGGAGAGUGUAGAGGAGCCUGAAGGUGAGAGGAGCUGGAUUAUAGAAAUGGGCUGCUCCAGAACUUCAGUAGAAGUUCUCCUUCUUUUUGCUGUUGGGACUGUAUGUAUGUCAUCACUGGCCUCAGCAGUUACCAACACAACAAGCGGACCUUGCAAAGGUGGAAAUUUACAAAAUGCCAGCCA